rnacentral:tRNA from 1 species
UCCCUGGCUGUCCAGUGGUUAGGACUCAGCGUUUUCACUGCCAGAGCCCAGGUUCAAUCCCUGGUUGGGGAA